GAUGAACGCUGGCGGCGUGCCUAAUACAUGCAAGUCGAGCGAACGGACGAGAAGCUUGCUUUUCUGAUGUUAGCGGCGGACGGGUGAGUAACACGUGGAUAACCUACCUAUAAGACUGGGAUAACUUCGGGAAACCGGAGCUAAUACCGGAUAAUAUUUUGAACCGCAUGGUUCAAAAGUGAAAGACGGUCUUGCUGUCACUUAUAGAUGGAUCCGCGCUGCAUUAGCUAGUUGGUAGGGUAACGGCUUACCAAGGCAACGAUGCAUAGCCGACCUGAGAGGGUGGUCGGCCACACUGGAACUGGGACACCGUCCAGACUCCUGCGGGAGGCAGCAGUCGGGAAUCUUCCGCAGUAGGCGAAAACCUUACGGAACAACGCCGCGUGAGUGAUGGAGGUCUUCGGAUCGUAAAACUCUGUUAUUAGUGAAGAACAUAUGUGUAAGUAACUGUGCACAUCUUGACGGUACCUGAUCAGAAAGCCACGGCUAACUACGUG
rnacentral:rRNA from 1 species